GACGAACGCUGGCGGCGUGCUUAACACAUGCAAGUCGAGCGGAGCGGCGAACGGGUGAGUAACGCGUGAGUAACUGCCCCCCUCUCUGGGAUAACAGUUGGAAACGGCUGCUAAUACCGGAUAGUGGGGGAUGACUCGCGUCCUAUCAGCUUGUUGGUGGGGUAGUGGCCUACCAAGGCGACGCAGGGUAGCCGGCCGGGGAGGGCGACCGGCCACAUGGGGCGGAGAUACGGCCCAAACUCCUACGGGGGGCAGCAGUGGGGAAUAUUGCACAAUGGGGGAAAGUCUGAGGCAGCAUCGCCGCGUGCGGGAUGACGGCCUUCGGGUUGUAAACCGCUUGCAGCCAUGACGCGGUAGUGGCAGAAGAAGCACCGGCUAACUACGUGCCAGCAGCCGCGGUAAUUC
rnacentral:rRNA from 1 species